rnacentral:rRNA from 1 species
CCUUUUCCAAACCGCAUCAGUGUGUUCGAGAAGACUGUGCGGAGUUAUGCUGAGAACACAACCGACAAUGUUAUCACACCAGUUAUCGGCACAACAUUCGACUCGGUGGGUGAAGCGUAUGACUUCUACAGUUUGUACUCAUGGGAGAAGGGAUUUGGCAUUCGUUAUGGGAAGAGUGGGAUCAAUGUGGAGAGGACCAAAUGCAUGCAGGAAAUAGCUUGUGGUUGCUCGGUGAGUGUGAGAAAAUUUAUUUUUUGUGCUGGGACAUAA